UACGAAGGGGGCUAGCGUUGCUCGGAAUCACUGGGCGUAAAGGGUGCGUAGGCGGGUCUUUAAGUCCGGGGUGAAAUCCUGGAGCUCAACUCCAGAACUGCCUUUGAUACUGAAGAUCUUGAGUUCGGGAGAGGUGAGUGGAACUGCGAGUGUAGAGGUGAAAUUCGUAGAUAUUCGCAAGAACACCAGUGGCGAAGGCGGCUCACUGGCCCGAUACUGACGCUGAAGCACGAAAGCGUGGGGAGCAAACAGG
rnacentral:rRNA from 1 species